UCGUUAGAUCACCGAAGUCAAUCAUCAUUGGACGCGGUCAGUACUUGGGUGGGUGACCACCUGGGAACACCGAGUGCCGUUG
rnacentral:rRNA from 1 species